rnacentral:rRNA from 1 species
AGAGUUUGAUCAUGGCUCAGAUUGAACGCUGGCGGUAUGCUUAACACAUGCAAGUCGAACGGUAACAGUCCCUCACCUAGAAAUUUCUUAAAAAGAGAUUUGUAGGUGAGGGAGCUGACGAGUGGCGGACGGGUGCGUAAUGUAUAGGAAUCUGCCUAGUAGUGGGGGACAACUCGGAGAAAUUCGAGCUAAUACCGCAUAAGCCCUACGGGGGAAAACGGGGGAUCUUCGGACCUCGUGCUAUUAGAUGAGCCUAUAUUAGAUUAGCUUGUUGGUGAGGUAAUGGCCCACCAAGGCGACGAUCUAUAGCUGGUCUGAGAGGAUGAUCAGCCACACUGGGACUGAGACACGGCCCAGACUCCUACGGGAGGCAGCAGUGGGGAAUAUUGGACAAUGGGCGAAAGCCUGAUCCAGCAAUACCGCGUGUGUGAAGAAGGCCUGAGGGUUGUAAAGCACUUUCAAUUGGGAGGAAUACCUAAUAGUUAAUAGCUAUUAGAUUGAC